rnacentral:rRNA from 1 species
UACGAAGGGGGCUAGCGUUGUUCGGAAUCACUGGGCUUAAAGGGCGCGUAGGCGGCUCGCCAAGUCCGGGGUGAAAGCCUCCAGCUCAACUGGAGAAGUGCCUUGGAUACUGGCGGGCUCGAGCGAGGUAGGGGCGGGUGGAACUUCCGGUGGAGCGGUGAAAUGCGUAGAGAUCGGGAGGAACACCAGAGGCGAAGGCGGCGACCUGGACAAGUACUGACACUCAACUACGAAAGCGUGGGGAGCAAACAGG